UGGGGAAUAUUGGACAAUGGGCGAAAGCCUGAUCCAGCAAUACCGCGUGAAUGAUGAAGGCCUUAGGGUUGUAAAGUUCUUUUAGUUGGAAAGAUAAUGACGGUACCAACAGAAAAAGCCCCGGCUAACUCCGUGCCAGCAGCCGCGGUAAGACGGAGGGGGCUAGCGUUGUUCGGAAUUACUGGGCGUAAAGGGCGCGUAGGCGGAUUAGUAAGUUGGGAGUGAAAGCCCGGGGCUUAACCUCGGAACUGCUUUCAAAACUGCUAGUCUUGAGUGAAGUAGGGGAUGAUGGAAUUCCUAGUGUAGAGGUGAAAUUCUUAGAUAUUAGGAGGAACACCGGUGGCGAAGGCGGUCAUCUGGACUUCAACUGACGCUGAGGCGCGAAAGCGUGGGGAGCAAACA
rnacentral:rRNA from 2 species